GCAGAUGUAGUCUAGCUUGGUAAGGCGCCGGCCUUGAGAGCCGGUGUGUGAAAGCACGCGGGGGUUCGAAUCCCUCCAUCUGCG
rnacentral:tRNA from 1 species